CCUACGGGUCGCACCAGUAGGGAAUCUUCGGCAAUGGACGAAAGUCUGACCGAGCAACGCCGCGUGAGUGAAGAAGGUUUUCGGAUCGUAAAACUCUGUUGUUAAAGAAGAACAAGGACGUUAGUAACUGAACGUCCCCUGACGGUAUCUAACCAGGAAGCCACGGCUAACUACGUGCCAGCAGCCGCGGUAAUACGUAGGUGGCAAGCGUUGUCCGGAUUUAUUGGGCGUAAAGCGAGCGCAGGCGGUUUCUUAAGUCUGAUGUGAAAGCCCCCGGCUCAACCGGGGAGGGUCAUUGGAAACUGGGAGACUUGAGUACAGAAGAGGAGAGUGGAAUUCCAUGUGUAGCGGUGAAAUGCGUAGAUAUAUGGAGGAACGCCAGUGGCGAAGGCGGCUCUCUGGUCUGUAACUGACGCUGAGGAGCGAAAGCGUGGGUAGCGAACAGGAUUAGAUACCCGCGUAGUC
rnacentral:rRNA from 1 species